rnacentral:tRNA from 3 species
AUAGUUAUAGUGGAACUAAGCAGAUGAAUAAUGAAGAAUAAGAAGCACUGAUUUGUCAAUCAGUAGGUCCGCGGUUCGAGUCCGUGUGGGGGCACCA